UAUGCUGAGAUUGACGUAAAUAUUUGUUGGCGUCCCACUGGUCCAACUUGAAACGUGGACCAAGGAAUCAAAUAUGAGUGCAAGUAGUCGAAUAGAGAACUUCACUGCGCUACGAAAGGGAUGCUUGGGAAAUUUGAAGCAAAAGCUGUAUUAGUAUGAUGAGCAAGCAUGUUGAGACUCAAAGCAUGAUGAACUAUAAUGGGGUGAGGCGAAGCUUUGGGAACUUCGGUGAGGCUUGCAGAUACUGAUUAGUCCUUUCUACUUAUCUGAAUUUAGGGG
rnacentral:rRNA from 1 species